UGAGGAAUAUUGGGUCAAUGGACGGAAGUCUGAACCAGCCAUGCCGCGUGAAGGAAUAAGGCCCUAUGGGUCGUAAACUUCUUUUGUGGUGGAGCAAUAAGAUCUACGCGUAGGUCGAUGAGGGUACAUCACGAAUAAGCAUCGGCUAACUCCGUGCCAGCAGCCGCGGUAAUACGGAGGAUGCAAGCGUUAUCCGGAAUUAUUGGGUUUAAAGGGUGCGUAGGCUGUUUUGCAAGUCAGGGGUGAAAGCCCGGAGCUCAACUCCGGAACUGCCUUUGAUACUGCGAGGCUGGAAUACGGAUGCCGUGGGAGGAAUGAGUAGUGUAGCGGUGAAAUGCAUAGAUAUUACUCAGAACACCGAUUGCGAAGGCAUCUCACGAAUCCGUCAUUGACGCUGAGGCACGAAAGCGUGGGGAUCAAACAGGAUUAGAUACCCUGGUAGU
rnacentral:rRNA from 1 species